rnacentral:tRNA from 1 species
GCCGGUGUAGCUUUAAUGGAAGAGCAGUGUAUUCGUAAUACACAGGUUAUAGGUUCGAAUCCUAUUACCGGCA